AGAGGCGGGCGAUAGCACAAUAAAUUCACCACUUCCGAAUGGAUCACUGAAGUUAAGCAACAUUGCGCGUGGUCGGUAUCCGGAUGGGUGACCAUUUGGGUAAUCGCCUGCUGCUGGCU
rnacentral:rRNA from 1 species